UGGAUAAGGCAUGCAAGUCGAACGAAUUUUUUAUGUUCUGAGAUGCGAUUAUAUCAAGUCAAAGUUUUUAAAAAAUUAGUGGCGAACGAGGUAGUAAUACAUAGGAACUUCCCCUUUAGUCGUGAAUAAUCCGUCGAAAGACGGACUAAUACACGAUGGUCUCGCAAGAGUAAAGUUUUAACGCUAAAGGAAAGGCCUGUGCGGUAUCAGCUAGUUGGUAGGGUAAUGGCCUACCAAGGCGGACGCCUAGGGGAGCUGAGAGGCUGACCCCCACCGAUGGUACUGAGACACGGACCAUACACCUACGGGUGGCUGCAGUCGAGAAUCUUCCACAAUCAACGAAAGUCUGAUGGAGCGACGCCGCGUGAUUGAUGUUCUCCCUCUGGGACGUAAAGAUC
rnacentral:rRNA from 1 species